rnacentral:lncRNA from 1 species
GAUACUCCAUAUGGAGUGCGACUUUCGUCACACUUCCAUAUAAACUUCAAGGUUGAAGGAUACAAGACUACGUUAAAUAAGGCUUGAGCACAUUCUAGUCGCAUGGCAGUUUUUGGGUACCUUUAAAGAUUCAACCAGAUGAAGUACUCGAAGAGCACAUAAACUAGUCGGUGAAGCCUACAAAAGUACUCGGAAUUGCUGCAUUUGACCAAAAAGUAGUCGGGGGCUUGUCGUACAUACAUCUAUGGGCCCACCAAAAGGUUUGGAU